rnacentral:tRNA from 1 species
GAGGCCUUAUCUUAAUUAAAGUGUCUGGGUUGCAUUCAAAAAAUGUGGGAUAGGGUCCUGCAGGUCUUA